ACUGAAAGACAUCUUGGUGGCUUUUAAGUUUCAGCAGUUAUGAACAAAGCUGUUAUAAACAUCUGUGUGCAGGUUUUUGUAUGGACAUGUUUUCAACCCUUAUGAGUAAAUACCAAGGAGUAUGACUGCUGGAUCAUAUGCAAUGAGUGAGAAUUCCUGUUAUUCCACAUUCUCGCCAGCAUUUGGUGUUGUCAGUGUUCUGGAUUUGUGUCCUGAUUUUGUUCUGACACUAAACUGUUUUCCCAUGAAAUGUAGAAGAGGACAAGAGAAGAGAUUGAAAAGUAAGCAGGGAUGAUGAGAACCCAGUCCCAAG